CAAAGAGCUCCUGUACUGAUAGGCAGCUGGCCUCUCAGUCUGUCAUGGCCAGGAUAGCCAGUUCAGAUUAUGCAAGCACUAUUAUGACAUCAAUGUGACUGUAGCAUACCACAUAAUCUCCUGCUGACCAGUUUCAACACUAGAUGGAGCCAGUCACAGAAAAGGUGCUUCUCCACUAAACAAAAUUAAGCAAAGAAAAAUAGUUACCACGAGUCACCAGAAAUGGCAGCACCGAAGAAACGCAAGAUAGCAAGGAAGCCAGGCUGAAGUGGAAAAGAACUGCAAGAGAUGCUGUUUUUCGAACUUGUGUAAGCUAAGACUAGAAUGCAGACUGUAGCAGAAAUUGCUGAGAAAAAGGAAGAUCUCAGAAAGGAAGAUGUAUAAACAAAAUGCAGUUGUUGAUCAUUACUGUAUGUAACAAAAAGGUAUAAAUACUUGCCUUCCUUGUUUAUCUUUUGGGAUCCCUGCUGUUGUGCACUCUCCCCCUUUCAAUAAUGCUUGAGAAUGAACUGCCUCUGACAUGUUGCAACCAACCUAAGAGUGAAGACUGCGUUAUUCUUCCACACCUAAAAACCAUGGGCUGAAUGAAGAUACUGGAUUUAUGGCUUAUUGCAAUAAUUUAUAA